GGCAUUUUUAUUUUCUUCGUUACCAACCACUCAAAUUCUCCACGGUAACCAUGGUAACCGACGAUCGCGACAAGUAUAACGUUGCGAUUUCGUUUUAACCUCAUAAUUUGGUUUGAAAUUAAGCAAAGAUGUUUAAAGAUUCUUUGUGUUAUUUUGUCGUGUUAAUUGAUUUUGGUGGUUAGAUUAAGGACCUGUGUUUGUGAAUUUCUGUGUUUAUCUACGACGCAUCGAAAGAAAGAAAAUGAAGGACCUGAUAAAAUCCAUAGGAAUUCCAGCAGAACUAAGAAAGGAUUGUUUGUGCAGGCUCCGGUACUAUCAAGAAUUUAUAGACUACCGAAGAUUCAUAAACCAGACGUCCCCCUCCGCCCUAUCGUCAGUGCCAUCAACUUCCUAGCAUACCAGUUGGCCAAAUAUCUCGCAAAGAUUCUGUCUCCUUUUACAGGGAACACGGCAUAUUUUGGAGCUGUAUUUGUAAAUCUGUAAUUAUUACGACGCAUUAAAGAUCGUUUCGAGUUCAAGAAACCCGCGCUGGAUUAAAAUUUCGGUAAGUUUUUUUAAAUUAAUUAUUACAAUUUUUAAAGAUUUCUUAGAAAUCUCAAUAGAUGGCGCCAUUGUCUUUUUUUUUUAAUUUUUCUUCCUUACCGACCACUCAAAAUCUCCAUGGCAACCGACGAGACUCCAACAAUAAUAACGUUGCGGUUUCGUUUUAACCUCAAAAGAUUGAUAAAAAUUAAGCAAAGAUGCUUAAAGAUUCUUUUAAUUAUUACUUUUAAGAAAAAUUCUUGUGUUAUUCUUUUGUGUUAAUUGAUUUUGAUGAGAUUUUGUGGUUAAAUUAAAGUGACAUUUGGGUAUUUAUCAUUUUUUCUAAUAAAAUCUUUUUUUAAUUAACAGGAGCUGUAUUUGUGAAUCUGUAAUUAUUACGACGCAUUAAAGAUCGUUUCGAGUUCAAGAAACCCGCGCUGGAUUAAAAUUUCGGAGCUGUAUUUGUGAAUUCAAGUAAACCCUCAAUGGGAAGAAUUUUAUUUUACAUAAGCAACCAUCGCGUCUGUUAUGAAGUUUCCUAAGUUGCAUUCGCUGGUUC